rnacentral:tRNA from 1 species
GGGCCCAUAGCUCAGUUGGUAGAGCGCUUGAAUGGCAUUCAAGAGGUCAGGGGUCCGAUUCCCCUUGGGUCCA